CUAAAUGUCAACCUUGAUUGUCAAUAUUUACUAAAUAUUAGUAUAUUGUUAAUUUAAUUGAUGUUAUAUCAUUAAAGUAGUGUAUAUGCUUCAUUAAUAGUGAGAUGGCACAAUAUAAUCCGAAUGAGUAUUGGAAUCAACAAAAUCCACCAGAUCACAGCUAUAAUUUUGAAGUUCCAGAUGAUUUCGGUUUUCAAUCAUUCGACAAUGAUCCAAAUCAACAACCAUUGUCCAAUCAAAAUCAAAUGUAUCCAAAUGUUCCAUUUACUC